AAUAAAGAUAGAGGCGCAAGAUGUUAUGAGAUUAUUAUUAUUUGAUGCAACAAGGUAAUGAAGGAGGAGCACUUGCCGAAAGAUUGUAUCUAUUGCAUGAGGUAGAAUCUUGGGUGUCUAGGAAAGACCUAUUCAACUGUCAUUAUCUAAAGGUAAUGGGGAGCUAUCAUUGAU
rnacentral:ncRNA from 2 species